UGCCCAGUGAUGACUCCAUCCUUGCUCCCCGUGCCCCCAGGGGCUGUGGGCGACACCUUGGUGCCCUGGGCUGGCCUGGUGAGGCCUUGCCUGGGGCUGAGGGCA
rnacentral:snoRNA from 1 species